AAGAAAAAAGCGACUAAUUGCAAUCAGUUUCGACCUGAAUUAUAGGAUCAUUCCUUUUCUUA
rnacentral:tRNA from 1 species